rnacentral:rRNA from 1 species
GGGAGGCAGCAGUGGGGAAUAUUGGACAAUGGGCGAAAGCCUGAUCCAGCCAUGCCGCGUGUGUGAAGAAGGCCUUUUGGUUGUAAAGCACUUUAAGCGAGGAGGAGGCUACUGAGAUUAAUACUCUAGGAUAGUGGACGUUACUCGCAGAAUAAGCACCGGCUAACUCUGUGCCAGCAGCCGCGGUAAUACAGAGGGUGCGAGCGUUAAUCGGAUUUACUGGGCGUAAAGCGUGCGUAGGCGGCUUUUUAAGUCGGAUGUGAAAUCCCUGAGCUUAACUUAGGAAUUGCAUUCGAUACUGGGAAGCUAGAGUAUGGGAGAGGAUGGUAGAAUUCCAGGUGUAGCGGUGAAAUGCGUAGAGAUCUGGAGGAAUACCGAUGGCGAAGGCAGCCAUCUGGCCUAAUACUGACGCUGAGGUACGAAAGCAUGGGGAGCAAACAGGAUUAGAUACCCUGGUAGUCCAUGCCGUAAACGAUGUCUACUAGCCGUUGGGGCCUUUGAGGCUUUAGUGGCGCACCUAACGCGAUAAGUAGACCGCCUG